rnacentral:rRNA from 1 species
UACGGGGGGGGUAAGCGUUGUUCGGAAUUACUGGGCGUAAAGGGCUCGUAGGCGGCCAACUAAGUCAGACGUGAAAUCCCUCAGCUUAACUGGGGAACUGCGUCUGAUACUGGAUGGCUUGGAUUCGGGAGAGGAAUGCGGAAUUCCAGGUGUAGCGGUGAAAUGCGUAGAUAUCUGGAGGAACACCGGUGGCGAAGGCGGCAUUCUGGACAGUGACUGACGCUGAGACGCGAAAGCGUGGGGAGCAAACAGG